UGCCCAAAGAGAUCGGGAUAACACCUGGGAAACAGAUGCUAAUACCGGAUAACAACAGAUGAUGCCUAUCAACUGUUUAAAAGAUGGUUCUGCUAUCACUCUUGGGAUGGACCCUGCGGUGCAUUAGCUAGUUGGUAGGGUAACGGCCUACCAAGGCGAUGAUGCAUAGCCCGAGUUGAGAGACUGAUCGGGCCACAUUGGGGACUGAGACACGGCCCAAAAACUCCUACGGGGAGGCAGCAGUAGGGAAUCUUCCACGAAUGGACGCAAGUCUGAUGGAGCAAACGCCGCGUGAGUAGAAGAAAGGGUUUCGGCUCGUAAAGCUCUGUUGUUGGUGAAGAAGGACAGGGGUAGUAACUGACCUUUGUUUGACGGUAAUCAAUUAGAAAGUCACGGCUAACUACGUGCCAGCAGCCGCGGUAAU
rnacentral:rRNA from 1 species